rnacentral:rRNA from 1 species
GAGGAAAAGGAACCAACAGGGAUUGCCCCAGUAACGGCGAGUGAAGCGGCAACAGCUCAAAUUUGAAAUCUGGUCCCCAGGGCCCGAGUUGUAAUUUGCAGAGGAUGCUUUUGGUGAGGUGCCUUCCGAGUUCCCUGGAACGGGACGCCAUAGAGGGUGAGAGCCCCGUCUGGUUGGAUACCGAGCCUCUGUAAAGCUCCUUCGACGAGUCGAGUAGUUUGGGAAUGCUGCUCUAAAUGGGAGGUAUAUGUCUUCUAAAGCUAAAUAUUGGCCAGAGACCGAUAGCGCACAAGUAGAGUGAUCGAAAGAUGAAAAGCACUUUGAAAAGAGGGUUAAAUAGUACGUGAAAUUGUUGAAAGGGAAGCACUUAUGACCAGACUUGGCCCCGGUGAAUCAUCCAGCGGUUCCCGCUGGUGCACUUUGCCGGGGUUCAGGCCAGCAUCAGUUCGCUCCGGGGGAUAAAGGCUUUGGGAAUGUGGCUCCCUCGGGAGUGUUAUAGCCCAUUGCGUAAUACCCUGUGGCGGGCUGAGGUUCGCGC